rnacentral:rRNA from 1 species
CGCGUAGGCGGCUAAUUAAGUCAAAUGUGAAAUCCCCGAGCUUAACUUGGGAAUUGCAUUCGAUACUGGUUAGCUAGAGUGUGGGAGAGGAUGGUAGAAUUCCAGGUGUAGCGGUGAAAUGCGUAGAGAUCUGGAGGAAUACCGAUGGCGAAGGCAGCCAUCUGGCCUAACACUGACGCUGAGGUGCGAAAGCAUGGGGAGCAAACAGGAUUAGAUACCCUGGUAGUCCAUGCCGUAAACGAUGUCUACUAGCCGUUGGGGCCUUUGAGGCUUUAGUGGCGCAGCUAACGCGAUAAGUAGACCGCCUGGGGAGUACGGUCGCAAGACUAAAACUCAAAUGAAUUGACGGGGGCCCGCACAAGCGGUGGAGCAUGUGGUUUAAUUCGAUGCAACGCGAAGAACCUUACCUGGCCUUGACAUAGUAAGAACUUUCCAGAGAUGGAUUGGUGCCUUCGGGAACUUACAUACAGGUGCUGCAUGGCUGUCGUCAGCUCGUGUCGUGAGAUGUUGGGUUAAGUCCCGCAACGAGCGCAACCCUUUUCCUUAUUUGCCAGCGAGUAAUGUCGGGAACUUUAAGGAUACUGCCAGUGACAAACUGGAGGAAGGCGGGGACGACGUCAAGUCAUCAUGGCCCUUACGGCCAGGGCUACACACGUGCUACAAUGGUCGGUACAAAGGGUUGCUACCUAGCGAUAGGAUGCUAAUCU